UUGUGACAGACUCAUAAUGCUUAACAAUGCACAAAAAAUGUAGUUAGUUGGCGAUUUAAGGCUUUUUAUUAAUAUUAAAUAGUGGUAGUUUAAGGUAAGGUUAACUAGAAAUCCAAAAUGGUGGCUGCAAUGAUUUUACCUCAGAAAAUCAAAAUGGAGGACUUAGGCUGAACUGACCAAUAGCAUACAGGUUAGUGGAGUGAAGUAAAAUUCAGCAGGGUGAGAUUAAAUUCACUCCAAAAUAUCUGAAGGGAGAGGUCAGUCAAGUGAGAAGGAGGUUCUCAGCGAGGUCUGGCUCAAAUGACAUGUGAAGCUGAUUGGCCAAACAGGUAUCACCCCACCAGGAGGGGGCUAUGCUAAUUGCUAGCAUUGAGAGAGCAACCAUUCAGAAAGGGUCAAAAAUCUUAUAUAAGGCAGAGAGCUGACAGGCUUCAGUGUGGGUGUUUAGCAGUUGUAGCAGAUUGGGUGGAGCAGAUCAGAAAGUGGAGCUUGGAGAAGCAGGGAGAAGAAUCGAUCAAAGAGCUGAAAGCAUUUUGACAGAGCAGAAGGACCUAGACAAAUCAGAGAGAUUUGAAGAAGAGUAGGUCGACCAGUGCUGAUGUUACAGAGGAUUAUUAUAAAUGCAGAUGCAAAAUGAGGGGCAGGAGAAAUUAAGAAAUAAAAGAGGGCCAAAUCCUGAAGGCCUGACUCAAGCAAAGCUCAUACUGAGGUCCAUGUGCAAUCAUAAAAAGGUUGCCGUGCAGUGUGAACCUAAGAGCCAGUUUGCAGGGACGACUGGCAACAUGGAAUCCAGAAGUGAGAACAUCUCAAGCUGUUCAAGUUCUUCUCUCUCUGAAGCCUACAGCUGCUUCUGUUAAGGACAGCAGAGCUUUCUGCGAGCAUUACAGCUGGAGUAGAGAUGUUUCCAUCUGCACAACCGCAGGUGGCUGUACAAUUAACCGAGUGCAUUUCCAGAGCUGUGAAGAGCCAUCUAAUAAGAUCUCCAGCAUUGCUACUGUACAUCUGUUCAGGCUACAAUUAACUAGAAACAAAUCUGUUUUCUUUAAACUAAGUAUUUCAACUUGCAGACACGCCUGUUUCAACAAAAUUAAUGUCAUGCAUAUAUUAACAGUAAAUUAUUUGAGAGUGUGAACAAAAUGCUGCAUUGAACUACAGACCAAUAUCAUUUCAGUGAUACUAUGGUUGAAGUGUUUCUUUUAUAACUCCCUACUUUCAGUGCUUUGCA